CAGUCGCCGCGGUAAUGCAGAGGGUGCGAGCGUUAAUCGGAUUUACUGGGCGUAAAGCGUGCGUAGGCGGCUUCUUAAGUCGGAUGUGAAAUCCCUGAGCUUAACUUAGGAAUUGCAUUCGAUACUGGGAAGCUAGAGUAUGGGAGAGGAUGGUAGAAUUCCAGGUGUAGCGGUGAAAUGCGUAGAGAUCUGGAGGAAUACCGAUGGCGAAGGCAGCCAUCUGGCCUAAUACUGACGCUGAGGUACGAAAGCAUGGGGAGCAAACAGGAUUAGAUACCCCCGUAGUCCCUGUCUCUUAUAC
rnacentral:rRNA from 1 species